UACGUAGGGUGCAAGCGUUGUCCGGAAUUAUUGGGCGUAAAGAGCUCGUAGGCGGUCUGUCGCGUCUGCUGUGAAAUCUCAGGGCUUAACCCUGAGCUUGCAGUGGGUACGGGCAGACUAGAGUGCGGUAGGGGAGACUGGAAUUCCUGGUGUAGCGGUGAAAUGCGCAGAUAUCAGGAGGAACACCGGUGGCGAAGGCGGGUCUCUGGGCCGUAACUGACGCUGGAGGAGCGGAAAAGCAUGGGGAGCGAACAGG
rnacentral:rRNA from 1 species